AGUGAACGCUGGCGGUAGGCCUAACACAUGCAAGUCGAACGGCAGCACAGUAAGAGCUUGCUCUUACGGGUGGCGAGUGGCGGACGGGUGAGGAAUACAUCGGUAUCUACUUUUUCGUGGGGGAUAACGUAGGGAAACUUACGCUAAUACCGCAUACGACCUACGGGUGAAAGCAGGGGAUCUUCGGACCUUGCGCGAUUGAAUGAGCCGAUGUCGGAUUAGCUAGUUGGCGGGGUAAAGGCCCACCAAGGCGACGAUCCGUAGCUGGUCUGAGAGGAUGAUCCGCCACACUGGAACUGAGACACGGUCCAGACUCCUACGGGAGGCAGCAGUGGGGAAUAUUGGACAAUGGGCGCAAGCCUGAUCCAGCCAUACCGCGUGGGUGAAGAAGGCCUUCGGGUUGUAAAGCCCUUUUGUUGGGAAAGAAAAGCAGCAGGUUAAUACCCCGCUGUUCUGACGGUACCCAAAGAAUAAGCACCGGCUAACUUCGUG
rnacentral:rRNA from 1 species